UACGUAGGGUGCAAGCGUUGUCCGGAAUUAUUGGGCGUAAAGAGCUCGUAGGCGGUCUGUCGCGUCGGCUGUGAAAACUCGGGGCUCAACCCCGAGCCUGCAGUCGAUACGGGCAGACUAGAGUGCUGUAGGGGAGACUGGAAUUCCUGGUGUAGCGGUGAAAUGCGCAGAUAUCAGGAGGAACACCGGUGGCGAAGGCGGGUCUCUGGGC
rnacentral:rRNA from 1 species